GCACAAGCGGUGGAGCAUGUGGUUUAAUUCGACGCAACGCGCAGAACCUUACCAGCCCUUGACAUCCCGGUCGCGGACUCCAGAGACGGAGUCCUUCAGUUCGGCUGGACCGGAGACAGGUGCUGCAUGGCUGUCGUCAGCUCGUGUCGUGAGAUGUUGGGUUAAGUCCCGCAACGAGCGCAACCCCCGUCCUUAGUUGCUACCAUUUAGUUGAGCACUCUAAGGAGACUGCCGGUGAUAAGCCGCGAGGAAGGUGGGGAUGACGUCAAGUCCUCAUGGCCCUUACGGGCUGGGCUACACACGUGCUACAAUGGCGGUGACAAUGGGACGCUAAGGGGCAACCCUUCGCAAAUCUCAAAAAGCCGUCUCAGUUCGGAUUGGGCUCUGCAACUCGAGCCCAUGAAGUUGGAAUCGCUAGUAAUCGUGGAUCAGCAUGCCACGGUGAAUACGUUCCCGGGC
rnacentral:rRNA from 1 species